rnacentral:rRNA from 1 species
CUCAAGAUCCCCUAGUAACGGCGAGUGAAGCGGGAUGAGCUCAAAUUUGUAAUCUGGCGGUCUCUGGCCGUCCGAGUUGUAGUCUGGAGAAGCGUCUUCCGCGUCGGACCGUGUACAAGUCCCUUGGAACAGGGCGUCGUAGAGGGUGAGAAUCCCGUCUUUGACACGGACUGCCGAUGCUUUGCGAUGCGCUCUCGAAGAGUCGAGUUGUUUGGGAAUGCAGCUCAAAACGGGUGGUAAAUUCCAUCUAAAGCUAAAUAUGGGCGAAAGACCGAUAGCGAACAAGUACCGUGAGGGAAAGAUGAAAAGCACUUUGGAAAGAGAGUUAAACAGUACGUGAAAUUGUUGAAAGGGAAACGCUUGAAGUCAGUCGCGUCUCCUGGGACUCAGCCUUGCUUCUGCUUGGUGUACUUCCUGGGGUGACGGGCCAGCAUCGAUUUUGACCGUCGGAGAAGGCCUUGGGAAUGUGGCACCUUCGGGUGUGUUAUAGCCUUCGGUCGUAUGCGACGGUCGGGAUCGAGGACCGCAGCACGCCUUUUUGGCCGGGGUUCGCCCACGCACGUGCUUAGGAUGCUGGCGUAAUGGCUUUAAGCGACCCGUCUU